UGGGACGGGGGCGCGGUCGCGCCCGGGGGACGAUCCCCUCGGGUGAGGAAAGUCCGGGCACCAUAGGGCAGGGUGCCAGCUAACGGCUGGGCGGGGUAACCCGACGGAAAGUGCCACAGAGAAGAGACCGCCAGCGGCCAGGCCAGGGCCUGGUGCGGGCAAGGGUGAAACGGUGGGGUAAGAGCCCACCGCGCUCCCUGGAAACAGGGGCGGCACGGCAAACCCCACCCGGUGCAAGGCCCAGUAGGCAGGGAGGGCUUGCCCGGCCCGCCACAACCUGCGGGAUGGGCCGCUUGAGGCCGGUGGCGACACCGGUCCCAGAGAGAUGACCGCGGAAACAGAACCCGGCUUACGCCCCGUCCCGGGGC
rnacentral:RNase_P_RNA from 1 species